rnacentral:snoRNA from 1 species
CACUCUCAUAAAGGCAUGUCUUUGGUUCCCUAUCUUUGGACAUGUAAGAAUUAGAGGCAAAGAAAUGUGGAUUUUUGGAGAAAUCUGAAGUCAGUUUGCUGACCCUCAGGCUCAAGAUCGACAGUACAACAUAA